GCCUGGGUGGCUCAGUCGGUUGAGCAUCCAACCAGCUCAGGUCAUGAUCUCAUAGUUUGUGGGUUCAAGCCCUGCUUCAGGCU
rnacentral:tRNA from 1 species